CAGCCAGGAGCAGCAGAGCGUCCGGCCAAGGUCUAAAUUCUGUCCAGUUCCAGGAAAGGUGCAACAGACACAAGCUCUGUCUGGAGGACACCAUCACUUAAAAAAUGCCCAUUUGAUACACAAGAUAAAUGCAGAACAAACCUUAAUUCAUCAUUUUUAUAUAGGUGGAUGCAACAUCACUUAUUUUAGCAUAUUCACUGUUCAUUAAUAAUUCAAAGAGGAUGGACAGGAUAAACAGCUGAAGCAAAUGGUUAUCAAGAGGCCCUAUGGAAAAUUUUAUAAAAGGUUUGAACAGGAAAAGCUUUGCUGCCUGAAAGCUCUGAGUUUCUGAGUUUCCAGUUGUCUGAUCUAGUAAAACAAUAAAGCAGAGUGAGGAGGAGGAGGAGAAAAUGUCAGUUCAAACUGACAUGGACACAUCAGUGUGGGAGAAAUCCCCUGUAGCUCUCCCUGCCUAACACCAUCUUAAAUUUAACUUCCCCCUCUGCUUGGCUGACUUCUGUAGUAUUGCUUUUUCCCUGCUAGUCAAGGUUUAUUUUGAUCAUAUUCAUCCCUGUGGAAAGGAAUGACUCUCAAAUUAAUUCCUAUUUUCCUUUAAAAUAAAGAAACCAAGAAAACAUCAUUUAUGGCCUGCAGUGGAGUAGAAAUAAUCCAAGUGCAAGAUCACUUCUCUCAUUUCUUUUGUGUUGAGAAGUGCAGGGACUAAAUGGGCUCAGAGUUUCCUUUAUUUUACAGCAGCCUUUUAAGUUUUGAAUCACCUGGUAAAACGUGGCCUUCUUUUUAUGAGGUUAUUCAGUGAACCACAAUUAAAGCCCAUUAUGCAGGGAGGACUCCCAGAACACAUCUGCUCCUCAGUAACAUAAAUCAGAAAUAAACACAAUUCCCUGCUAGAGGGAAUGGAAGAAACCACCAGCCAGAGCCAAGACAUGCAGAAUGACUCCAUUAGGACCUGCCUUUGUUUAUUCCCACAAGAUUUAAUGGUCUGGCUGGCAAGUUAAUAUGCUGAGGAGGUCACCUCCAAGGUAGGAAUCCACCCAAAGACCUUCCCUGGCAGGGAAAAGCUCUCUCAAAGGAAAACAGCAAGAUUUUUUUUCUGUGGAGUCAGCACCAAAGUGUCCAGGCAUCUACAUAAACAGCUUAAAAUAAUUGUAUAAACUAAGGAACAAGAAAGAGACAAAUCCUCAAGGUGUUUGAACAGAAAAAUGGCUCAGGAACCCAGUUGGUGCUUUUAGGGGGGUGGAAGGGCUGCUGUGGUUUGUUAAUAAAAGAAUAGGAAGGUUAUCCACGUCCAAAAUGAGCUUUUUUGAACACUGGAGGACUAUUCCAAGAAAUUUCCAGAAACAUGGAACAUGAACACUCCACAAAUCUCAGGUUCUCUCUAUAAAUAGAAUAUUUCUUUCAAAAAGGGGCAGGUUUCAGUGCAGCUCAUUAUGAGCAAUCAAUCUGACCUGGUAGCUCGUGGAUUCACUCAGACCAAGUUUCUUGGACAGCCUCAGGAUUAUCCAGCAGUAAACCAAGAUGUUUUUAUUUAGAUGCAUCUAAAUGCUACAAAAAUAAAGGAGAUGCUACUUCCAGGCUGCUUUAUUGAUUUCACGUAGGAACUAUUCAAGCAAGGCAUUUCUU
rnacentral:lncRNA from 1 species